rnacentral:rRNA from 1 species
CCUACGGGUGGCUGCAGUGGGGAAUAUUGCACAAUGGGGGAAACCCUGAUGCAGCGACGCCGCGUGGGCGAGGAAGUACCUCGGUAUGUAAAGCCCUAUUAGCAGGGAAGAAAAUGACGGUACCUGAGUAAGAAGCCCCGGCUAACUACGUGCCAGCAGCCGCGGUAAUAUGUAGGGGGCAAGCGUUAUCCGGAUUUACUGGGCGUAAAGGGAGCGUAGACGGCAGUGCAAGUCUGGAGUGAAAGGCGGGGGCUCAACCCCCGGACUGCUCUGGAAACUGUACGGCUGGAGUGCAGGAGAGGUAAGUGGAAUGCGUAGUGUAGCGGUGAAAUGCGUAGAUAUUGGGCGGAACACCAGUGGCGAAGGCAGCUUACUGGACUGUAACUGACGUUGAGGCUCGAAAGCGUGGGGAGCGAACAGGAUUAGAUACCCUUGUAGUC